rnacentral:tRNA from 1 species
GGGAAGGUGGCUCAGUGGUAGAGUGCUUGCCUUGCAUGCAUGAGGCCCUUUUCA